GCAGCUACAUUAGUUUACACGGUAGUGCAGUGUAGAGUAUUCUGCUGUUUACAGCUGUAGGGGAAUGUAGUCUGCAUUUGUAUAGUACUUCCAGUAUAUCUUGAGUGACAGAUGUAUCGUCCAAUCAGCACUGAACAGUUAAGAGGGUUAGAGUUACUGACCUCGCUCAAGUGUCCAGCAGUUGCAGCAAGGUGGUGCUGGGAUUUGAACUCAUGACAUUCUGAUCAGAAGUGAAAACAGCAGCUAGGUUUCUUGUGACUGAGAGGUUUUUCAUCACCUAGAAACCCAAACUACACUCUCUCACUCUUCUAAACAUCUUAAACUGAGGAAUGAGAUGAAAUCUCUGUAGCUGGUGAGAUUUAUUUUUCUUUCUUUUCCUGUAUUAUCUUCUCAAAUUAUUCCUUCUCCAAUGAUUUAUUUUUUGGUUUACAUGUCAUUGUAUAAGAAGAGUUUUAGCUCCACUUAUUGUUCUUGGUUUAUGAGAGUACAUUAUUAAAGUUCUGGAACCUAUCUUGGGGUAUUUUGUCGAGUGGGAGUACCAUUGCUGCAGCACUUCCUGUGUUCAGGGUUCAUGUGUCAGUCUCAGACUGUGAGUACUGUACACACUGAGGGUUAAUGACCCUGUGGAUGUACUGUGGCUCUCCCCUCGAGUAACUUGGAAAGGAAAAGAACUGGAUCUCAUCGUGUGGUGGCUUUCUAGUCCUCGAUGUCCAUCUGAAACCUGAUACAUCUGCACUAAUACCAUUCUGCUCCUGACCAUCAAUAUCUU